UUCGUUCGGAGAUGGAAGUGAAGAUUGGAGAACGUUACGCGAUCAGCGCGGAGAUCGGGGUCCAUCAGGAGAAAAGGAGACGCAGAGUGUCUUCUGGAGAAUGGGGUUCAAAUGGAGAAUGGGGUUCAUUGUUUGGUAGCGAGAGUGACAUGAAGUUGUCAGGGUUCAAAUGCGGUGAUCAGGGAUCAUCCGCGCAAAAGGAAAAUAUUUGUGUAGAGGUCCAAGAAAG
rnacentral:lncRNA from 1 species